CAUUGAACCUGAGACCGGGUUUUGGUCUGUCGUCUCCUCAACGUGACGUAAUGCAAUGCGUUGUGGGGGAAAGGAGAAUCAUUGCAUACCGCUGUAAAAUAGUACCUACUUUUUCGU